rnacentral:rRNA from 1 species
GCAGUGGGGAAUAUUGCACAAUGGGCGAAAGCCUGAUGCAGCAACGCCGCGUGAGCGAUGAAGGCCUUCGGGUCGUAAAGCUCUGUCCUCAAGGAAGAUAAUGACGGUACUUGAGGAGAAAGCCCCGGCUAACUACGUGCCAGCAGCCGCGGUAAUACGUAGGGGGCAAGCGUUGUCCGGAUUUACUGGGUGUAAAGGGCGCGCAGGCGGGAUAGCAAGUCAGAGGUGAAAUCCUACAGCUUAAAUGUAGAACUGCCUUUGAUACUGUUAUUCUUGAGUUCGGGAGAGAGAGACGGAAUUCCAGGUGUAGUGGUGAAAUACGUAGAUAUCUGGAAGAACACCAGUUGCGAAGGCGGUCUCUUGGUCCGAUACUGACGCUGAGGCGCGAAAGCGUGGGGAGCAAA